AUGUUCAUAGUUUAAUGGUAAAACAUAGACUUGUGGUGUCUAAUUUUUGAGUUCGAGUCUCUAAUUUACAUC
rnacentral:tRNA from 1 species